rnacentral:rRNA from 1 species
UACGGGGGGGGCAAGCGUUGUUCGGAAUUACUGGGCGUAAAGGGCUCGUAGGUGGCCAACUAAGUCAGACGUGAAAUCCCUCGGCUUAACCGGGGAACUGCGUCUGAUACUGGAUGGCUGGAGUAUGGGAGAGGGAUGCGGAAUUCCAGGUGUAGCGGUGAAAUGCGCAGAUAUCAGGAGGAACACCAGCGGCGAAGGCGGCGCUCUGGGCCGGAACUGACGCUGAGGAGCGAAAGCGUGGGUAGCAAACAGG